rnacentral:rRNA from 1 species
AGAGUUUGAUUCUGGCUCAGGAUGAACGCUAGCGACAGGCUUAACACAUGCAAGUCGAGGGGCAGCACGGGAGUAGCAAUACUUGGUGGCGACCGGCGCACGGGUGAGUAACGCGUAUGCAACCUACCUAUCAGAGGGGAAUAACCCGGCGAAAGUCGGACUAAUACCGCAUAAAACAGGGGCACCGCAUGGUGAUAUUUGUUAAAGAAAUUCGCUGAUAGAUGGGCAUGCGUUCCAUUAGGUAGUUGGUGAGGUAACGGCUCACCAAGCCGACGAUGGAUAGGGGAACUGAGAGGUUGGUCCCCCACACUGGUACUGAGACACGGACCAGACUCCUACGGGAGGCAGCAGUGAGGAAUAUUGGUCAAUGGGCGGGAGCCUGAACCAGCCAAGUCGCCGUGAAGGAAGAAGGAUCUAUGGUUCGUAAACUUCUUUUGCAGGGGAAUAAAGUGCAGGACGUGUCCUGUUUUGUAUGUACCCUGAGAAUAAGGAUCGGCUAACUCCGUGCCAGCCGCCGC